rnacentral:rRNA from 1 species
AGAGUUUGAUCCUGGCUCAGAUUGAACGCUGGCGGCAUGCCUUACACAUGUAAGUCGAACGGCAGCGCGGGGCAACCUGGCGGCGAGUGGCGAACGGGUGAGUAAUAUAUCGGAACGUACCCUGGAGUGGGGGAUAACGUAGCGAAAGUUACGCUAAUACCGCAUACGAUCUAAGGAUGAAAGUGGGGGAUCGCAAGACCUCAUGCUCCUGGAGCGGCCGAUAUCUGAUUAGCUAGUUGGCGGGGUAAAAGCCCACCAAGGCAACGAUCAGUAGCUGGUCUGAGAGGACGACCAGCCACACUGGAACUGAGACACGGUCCAGACUCCUACGGGAGGCAGCAGUGGGGAAUUUUGGACAAUGGGCGCAAGCCUGAUCCAGCAAUGCCGCGUGGGUGAAGAAGGCCUUCGGGUUGUAAAGCUCUUUUGUCAGGGAAGAAACGGUGGGGGC